AGAUGAUAUUCUAGAUUUUGCCUAUUGUCCGUUGUCACGUGUUUUGCAUGUGACGUUGGCCAAUCGGCAAACAUUUGGAUUUAAGGUUUCAUGUGAGGUCAUUAUUAUGUGCAUUUAGUAGACGAUCGGUCAGCCAGCCGGCUGCUUUACUUCAUGUUGCAGCUACACCGUGCUGACGAGACCCAACCAGGUCGAAACAGCUGUCCACGGUUGCAAUUCUUGGCUUUCAGUUUGGACUCUACCAUGUCGUUGUCCCGUUAAGCUUUCUUCGUAGUUAUCAGCCUUGCUUUAUUACAGUUUUUUAAUGUAUUGCGCAAGGAAGUUUAGUAGAGUUGAGUUGAUAACUUUAUUUAUACACGGUAAAAAUUCCUUCAGCAUAAUUUAAAAGUAUAAUAAACUAAGUACCUAACUAAACUAACUAAUAAUUAAUACAGUAUUACCAGAAUGAAAACCUAUCAUUUUACUAAAGCUGCUUUUCAAGGAUGCCGUGUCUCAUUCAAAACUGUAAUAGCGCAGUUUACCUUUAAAUUCACUAAAGAAACUGUAGAUCGGAGUUCAUUAGAGAGCACAUAGCACCUCUGAAGAAAAAAAAAAAACUUCUCUUUAAAUAAUUGGUGCGGAGGCUGUGGAAGAACCAGUUUAUUCUCAGGAAUUCCUCAGCUGUCGAUACGAAGUAAUGUCAUUUCGAAAUACGAAUCGAGAUUAUACAUUUUCAGGGGUCAAUCCAUGUAAAGUUUUGAACAUCACAGUAGAGGUGGCUACUAGCCUUUGAUGACUAAGUUUUCGCCAGUUGAGUGCCUGGAACAGUUUGUGACUUGACUUAACGUGUGAAGUCUCCGUUUUAGUCGUAACUUAACCUUCCUCACUCCCAAAGCUAAAACCAGAAGGCUUUUGAAAAAAAAACGCACUUAAACUUCUUGAAACCUGGAUUCUUUUUUUAAAAAUCACAUUGAGUCGUGCCAAGAGUGGAUGUUAAUCCCCCAUACAGAAAUUAUUCUUAAGGCAAUCCCUCAGAGGUUAUUUAUAUAUAUAGUACCCAGUUCUUCCGCGGCUAAUCUUGUCACGCGUGUUGGGUAGAUGUUUUCGUGGAGAAUGAAAAUACGUGUAAGUCUAAGUAAGAAAAAUUUAUUUACACAGGAUAGCCCAUUCACCUCUAAGGUUGGUCUCUAUAGGGGCUCUGUAACUAAAAGUUAUAAGAUUAGCUUAAAAGCCUUAAGUACGAUAAUAAAAUUUUAGAACAUUUACAACCAACUAGCUCCGUGACAGAACAUCUGUAAGUUUUCGCUCUUAGUAACGUUUAACGGAAGUUCAUUAAAAAUUAAUUCUUGCACCGCAGUAAAGAAAGGUCCGUCUCCCGUAAUUCAGACUAACCUUUGGUAAGGAUAACUUCGUACUGUUCCUUGUAGAUUAGUUAUGAAUGCUCGAAAAUCUUGUAAAAUAUGAUUAAAAAAAAUAGCUGGAAUAUAAAAUAAUUUUGGAAUUUCUGAAGCUGAAAGUGAACUAAAAAUAACUUGAGAGAGAUUACCUUUGGAAAAAGGCUUAUAUGGGAGGUAAACUCUCUUACCUUCAUCUUCUCUCUCUCUCAUGCAAGUAGGUGCAGUCUAUAUUAAGAAAGCAAACGUAUAUCAAUUCGUGUUUUAUGACUUGAAUUUCAAAUGAAACUGAAACACAAAUAAAACGUGCCGACAGUGUGUUACAAAAGAAAGACUUCAUGACCAGUCGAAAUUGAAAGCUUAUCCCACGGUUCGAAAGUGUGAUAAUUCUCAUGUCUUUGUUAUUUUUGAGAAGGAGAUUUCAUUUCAGCUGAUGCAGACAACAACUUUGAAUCCCAUUCUGAGUUGAAGUUAAAUUUGGAAACGAUUUUGGGACUUUUAAAGCCUUUUUGGAAAGAAGAAGUUUCUCUUGUGGACUUGGCUGUAACGUUUGUACUCUUUCAUAUUCUGAACAGAAGUGGAGUGGAAGAUCCCUUUUGGUGACCCAGAGUGAAUUUUAACGGGGUUGUUCUGAUUUUGACAUCUCAAGAAACGGUAAGGACAGUCAGUCAAUAAAACAGAUAUAAGAUAUCGUCUAUUCGACUCACUCGUUUGAUGUUUUUACCGUGAAUUUACUGAAAAUAUUUAUUCAAGCUGUAAUGUGCCAUUGUCCUUUCCAGGGGAAGACCCCUGUUCCUGACGCAGAUCGAGUGGGAUCUCAGUCUGAUUCUCAGGUCCCAAAUAAAGGUUAGAAAAGUAAGUAGCUUUGGUCACUAUCUGUAUUCAGAGUACAUACGUUUUGUACAAAUAGAGGAAGGAAGGGUUUGGAUUUUCAGUGAAGAAAUUAACACAUUAAACGUCCAUCCUCGACGACUUUCGGUUUUGUUCGUUGAUCUUCCACUGUCCUCUUGUUUUGUUUUGUUUUCCUCGUUUGUUUUCUUUCGGUUUAAUUUUGCAAUUUUUUCUUAGUCUGUCAUGAUUGUCACACAUGUGCAUUUAUUUUCGGCUGUAGUUGUCAGUUUAGCGCGUUGAUCUUUGUCUUUGAUUACAACUUUGCUCUUGUACCUUUGUCAGUUUA